rnacentral:rRNA from 1 species
UACGGAGGAUGCGAGCGUUAUCCGGAUUUAUUGGGUUUAAAGGGUGCGUAGGCGGGCUUUUAAGUCAGCGGUAAAAAUUCGGGGCUCAACCCCGUCCGGCCGUUGAAACUGGGGGUUUUGAGUGGGCGAGAAGAAGGCGGAAUGCGUGGUGUAGCGGUGAAAUGCAUAGAUAUCACGCAGAACCCCGAUUGCGAAGGCAGCCUUCCGGCGCCCUACUGACGCUGAGGCACGAAAGUGCGGGGAUCGAACAGG